rnacentral:rRNA from 1 species
AGAGUGAACGCUGGCGGCAGGCCUAACACAUGCAAGUCGAACGGCAGCACAGAGGAGCUUGCUCCUUGGGUGGCGAGUGGCGGACGGGUGAGGAAUACGUCGGAAUCUGCCUAUUUGUGGGGGAUAACGUAGGGAAACUUACGCUAAUACCGCAUACGACCUACGGGUGAAAGCGGAGGACCUUCGGGCUUCGCGCAGAUAGAUGAGCCGACGUCGGAUUAACUAGUUGGCGGGGUAAAGCCCACCAAGGCGACGAUCCGUAGCUGGUCUGAGAGGAUGAUCAGCCACACUGGAACUGAGACACGGUCCAGACCUCCGUACGGGAGGCAGCAGGUGGGGAAUAGUUGGACAAGUGGGCGACAAGCCUGAUCCAGCCAUCGCCGCGUGUGUAGAAGAGGCCGUUGGUUAUAAGCUACGUUUGGAACGGUAAGAAAGUCGUUUACGGUAACGUACCGGUAAGUU